AUUGAACGCUGGCGGCAGGCCUAACACAUGCAAGUCGAACGAGUGGCGGACGGGUGAGUAAUGUCUGGGAAACUGCCUGAUGGAGGGGGAUAACUACUGGAAACGGUCGCUAAUACCGCAUACCAUCAGAUGUGCCCAGAUGGGAUUAGCUUGUUGGUGGGGUAACGGCUCACCAAGGCGACGAUCCCUAGCUGGUCUGAGAGGAUGACCAGCGACACUGGAACUGAGACACGGGCCAGACUCGUACGGGAGGCAGAAGUGGGGAAUAUUGCACAAGGGGCGAAAGCCUGAUGCAGCCAUGGCGCGUGUAUGAAGAAGGCCUUCGGGUUGUAAAGUACUUUCAGCGGGGAGGCGGGAACAGAAGAAGAAGCACCGGCUAACUCCGUGCCAGCAGCCGCGGUAAUUG
rnacentral:rRNA from 1 species